AUUGCUGGGUAGCUAAGUUCGGAAUGGAUAACCGCUGAAAGCAUCUAAGCGGGAAGCCAACCUCAAGAUUAGAUAUCCCAUCCCGAUGGAAACAUCGGGACUUAAGACCCCUUGUAGACUACAAGGUUGAUAGGCCAGGUGUGUAAGUACGGCAACGUAUUUAGCUUACUGGUACUAAUUGGUCGUGAGGCUUGGCCAC
rnacentral:rRNA from 1 species